CCCUGCCCCCAGCCCCGGCCUGGAUGUCGAAAUCCGCGCAGAGGCUGCUGGGACGUGGCGAUAUCCGUAGGCCCACCACAUCUGCAGUGCAGGGGGCCGGCAGCGGCUCGGAGACAGGUCCAACCUGCUUCACCACAGACGCGGCGUCAGCGUCAAGACGACAACCGCAGGAGCGAUGCCUUAUAACCGCCCUGUUCUGGGACUGACGCGGGGUGUACAGACCCCCACCUCCACCCCCACCCCCUUGCUGCCCGGCAGGGAAGCAGAAAGGGCCUGGUUGUUCCUUGCA
rnacentral:lncRNA from 1 species